AGGAUCAUUAAUGAAAAUUAGGGGAGAGUUGAGCUGGUUCUUACAAGUGCUCGCUUUUUCCGUUUUUCUCCAAACACACACCUGUGAACCUUGGAAAAUGAGCUCUCGUGUGCUCUUUUCCUUAUUAAUAUACCCCAAUUCUUAACUAUGAACGUGAUAACUAUUGUACCGCAAGGUCGAUAAUCAAAUAUACAACUUUUAACAACGGAUCUCUUGGCUCUCGCAUCGAUGAAGAACGCAGCGAAAUGCGAUACGUAAUGUGAAUUGCAGAAUUCAGUGAAUCAUCGAAUCUUUGAACGCACCNUUGCACUCUUUGGUAUUCCGAAGAGUACGCCUGUUCGAGUAUCUUGAAACUAUCAGACCUCUGUCUUUUAUUAGGCAUUGGACUGGAUGUGGACUUUACCGUCUCCUUUCACUAGGAACGGUUGGUCUUAAAAGCAUUAGCUGACCCUCGAUUUGUGGGAUUGGUUCUACUUGACGUGAUAAUUAUCUAUGACCGUCAAGGACAUUUGCUUAAGUGCGAAUGGCCAGUUCUACCUUGAGUCGCUUCUAAUCGCACCCAGUGUGCACAUUUUCAACUUUGAUCUCGAAUCAGGUGGGACUACCCGCUGAACUUAAGCAUAUCAAUAAGCGGAGGAAAAGAAACUAACAAGGAUUCCCCUAGUAACGGCGAGUGAAGCGGGAUGAGCUCAAAUUUAAAAUCUGGCAGUCUUUGAUUGUCCGAGUUGUAAUCUAGAGAAGCGUUUUCCGCGCUGGACUGUGUACAAGUUUCCUGGAUACGGAACAUCAGAGAGGGUGAGAAUCCCGUCCUUGACACAGACUCCCAGUGCUCUGUGAUACGCUCUCGACGAGUCGAGUAGUUUGGGAUUGCUGCUCAAAAUGGGAGGUAAAUUCCUUCUAAAGCUAAAUAUUGGCGAGAGACCGAUAGCGAACAAGUACCGUGAGGGAAAGAUGAAAAGCACUUUGGAAAGAGAGUUAAACAGUACGUGAAAUUGUUAAAAGGGAAACGCUUGAAGUCAGUCGCGUUUACUUGGACUCAGCCUCACUUCGGUCUGGUGCAUUUCCUUGUGAACGGGCCAGCGUCCAUGUUUGUGUUGCUGGAAAAGAGGUUAGGAAAUGUGGCUUCUUCGGGAGUGUUAUAGUCCUUUCUUGUAUACGGCGCAUAAUAUGGAG
rnacentral:rRNA from 1 species